UUAAAAAACUGAGAAUCCUAGACAUAGCUGGAAAUAUUAUUCAGAUAUUUCCAUCAGGAAAAUGGACAGGUAUGGUGGCUCACGCCUGCAAUCCUAGCAUUUUGGGAGGCUGUGGCGGGAGGAUUGCUUUUGAUUCCGUGAGUUCAAGAUCAGGCUGGACAACAUGGUGAAACCCCUAUCUCUAUAAAACAAACAAACCACCAAAAAAAUUAGCUGGGUGUAGUGGCACACCCUGUGGUCCCAGUUACUUGAGGUGAAGUAUCACUCAAGCCUGGGAGGUAGAGGUUGCAGUAAGCUGAGAUCAUACUCCAGCCUGGGCAACACAGUGAGACCGUCUUAAAAAAAAAAAAAAAAAAAGAAAUAUCUUGGUUCUUUUAUGAACAUGUAGUCAGAUCUGCUACAGAGAGACUUUAGUUUCUUUCCUUACCUCUUUUUUCCUUUCCUUUAUUUUAACUUAAAAAAAUUAAAUUAAAACUUAAAAAUUUUGUAAGUUGUA
rnacentral:sRNA from 1 species